rnacentral:rRNA from 1 species
UACGGUAGGGGGCAAGCGUUUGUCCGGAAUCAUUGGGCGUAAAGCGAGCGUAGGCGGCCCGAUAAGUCUGCUGUGAAAGUCAACGGCUCAACCGUUGAAAGCCGGUGGAUACUGUCGGGCUAGAGUUCGGAAGAGGCAAGUGGAAUUCCUGGUGUAGCGGUGAAAUGCGCAGAUAUCAGGAGGAACACCGGUGGCGAAGGCGGGUCUCUGGGCAAUAACUGACGCUGAGGAGCGAAAGCGUGGGGAGCGAAACAGG